rnacentral:rRNA from 1 species
UACAGAGGUCUCAAGCGUUGUUCGGAUUCAUUGGGCGUAAAGGGUGCGUAGGCGGCGCGGUAAGUCGGGUGUGAAAUCUUGGAGCUUAACUCCGAAACUGCAUUCGAUACUGCCGUGCUUGAGGACUGGAGAGGAGACUGGAAUUUACGGUGUAGCGGUGAAAUGCGUAGAUAUCGAGAGGAACACCUGCGGCGAAGGCGGGUAGCUGGGGCGACACUGACGCUGAUGCGCGAAAGCCAGGGGAGCGAACGGG